rnacentral:rRNA from 1 species
GCGAACGGCUCAUUAAAUCAGUUGCGAUCUACUCGGCGUUCCGCGCCGCCGGAUAACCGUAGUAAUUCUAGGGCUAAUACGUGCGAAGCGCCCGAAGCCGCGAGGCGACGGGCGUUCUCGCCGGAUGUAGGAACCGACCCGGGGACCGCCGGGGCAACCCGGCGCCCCCGAGACGGGGCGAACCACGGUGAAAUGACGGAUCGUCGGCCCCGCGCCGGCGACUCGCCGAAUGAGUUUCUGACCUAUCAACUCGAGACGGCGGGGUAGAGGCCCGCCGCGGUAACGACGGGUAACGGGGAAUCAGGGUUCGAUUCCGGAGAGGGAGCCCGAGAAACGGCUACCACUUCCAAGGAAGGCAGCAGGCGCGCAACUUACCCUAAUCUCGAUUCGAGGAGGUAGUGACAAGAAAUACCGAUGCGGGACCCUACGGGUGCCGCGUUCGGAAUGAGUACGAUUCGAACCACCUAACGAGGAACGAUCGGAGGGCAAGUCUGGUGCCAGCAGCCG